UAGGGAAUAUUGCAAAAUGGGCGAAAGCCCGAUGCAGCAACGCCGCGUGGGCGAUGAAGGCCUUCGGGUCGUAAAGCCCUUUUUGAGGGGAUGAGGAAGGACAGUACCCUCAGAAUAAGCCUCGGCUAACUACGUGCCAGCAGCCGCGGUAAAACGUAGGAGGCGAGCGUUAUCCGGAUUUACUGGGCGUAAAGCGCGUGCAGGCGGAUUGGAGAGUUGGAUGUGAAAGCUCCCGGCUUAACUGGGAGAGGUCGUUCAAUACUUCCAGUCUUGAGUGCAGUAGAGGGCAGUGGAAUUCCGGGUGUCGUGGUGAAAUGCGUAGAUAUCCGGAGGAACACCAGUGGCGAAAGCGGCUUCCUGGACUGUAACUGACGCUCAGACGCGAAAGCUAGGGUAGCAAACG
rnacentral:rRNA from 1 species